rnacentral:rRNA from 1 species
GCGAACGGGUGAGUAACACGUGGGUAACCUGCCCAUCAGAAGGGGAUAACACUUGGAAACAGGUGCUAAUACCGUAUAACAAUCGAAACCGCAUGGUUUUGAUUUGAAAGGCGCUUUCGGGUGUCGCUGAUGGAUGGACCCGCGGUGCAUUAGCUAGUUGGUGAGGUAACGGCUCACCAAGGCCACGAUGCAUAGCCGACCUGAGAGGGUGAUCGGCCACAUUGGGACUGAGACACGGCCCAAACUCCUACGGGAGGCAGCAGUAGGGAAUCUUCGGCAAUGGACGAAAGUCUGACCGAGCAACGCCGCGUGAGUGAAGAAGGUUUUCGGAUCGUAAAACUCUGUUGUUAGAGAAGAACAAGGAUGAGAGUAACUGUUCAUCCCUUGACGGUAUCUAACCAGAAAGCCACGGCUAACUACGUGCCAGCAGCCGCGGUAAUACGUAGGUGGCAAGCGUUGUCCGGAUUUAUUGGGCGUAAAGCGAGCGCAGGCGGUUUCU